rnacentral:lncRNA from 1 species
GAUCUGCUCCCGGACUCCUUCAGCGCGCUGCCUGCCUGCCCAGGGCCUUCCCGGAGAGCAGGUGACGGCGGCCUCCGGGCAUGGAGCUCGCGCUGACGAAAGGUUCUGGAAGCCGCCGUAAAAAGUAAUCAAGAAACGGGUGACAGGACUUUUCGUAAGACAUUUAAUUUUUACCCAGAGUAUCCGAAACAUUGCCGUGUCAAUCUCAGUGCGAUGGGAGACUGCCGGCCCCAAGGAGCUGCUCGUCCUUCUGCCGAGUUCCGGCCCGGACCCGCGGAGGAGGAGACCGCCGCGCCGGAGCUCGGACCUGACGUUUUUGUGAAGCACAGGGGGCGUGGGAGGGACCGGAUCAAUGCGGCACUCAACAAAACCUGUUUUUAAAAGAGUCGUGCUGUGUCGCCCAGGCUGGAGUGCAGUGACGCGAUCUCGGCUCACUGCAGCCUCCACCUUCCGGGCUCAAGCGAGCCUCCCGCCUCAGCCUCCUGAGUAGCUGGGAUUACAGGCACACACCUCCAGCUCGGCUGUUUUAUUUAUUUAUUUUUUUUUUGAGACGUAAUUUAGCUCAUGUUGACCAGGCUGGAGUGCAGUGGCGCGAUCUGGGCUCACCGCAACCCCCGCCUCCCGGGUUCAAGCGAUUUUCCGCCUCAGCCUCCUGAGUAGCUGGGGUUGCAGGCAUGCGCCACCACGCCCGGCUAAUUUUGUACUUAUAGUAGAGACGGGGUUUCUCCAUGUUGGUCAGGCUGGUCUCGAACUCCCGACCUCAGGUGCUCCGCCCGCCUUGGCCUCCCAAAGUGCUGGGAUUACAGGCGUGAGCCACCUCUCCAGGGCCAAAAGCCUUUUAUUGGAGUACUGGGUAACACAUUCAGAAGAGGGUGCAUAGCUUAGGCGCUCCGUGAAUUUUCACAAACUGAACAUACACCCAGGUAGCCAACACCCCCAGCAAGCCCCAGAAUCCCCUCAUGCUUGCUUUCUGCCACUAUCAAGCAGUUUGCUUUCUUUCAGAUUUUUAAGUUUUGAAAUAAUUAUUGAAAUGUACAGGGAGAAGUCUGGGUUGGUGGUUCUAACCUGUAGUCUCAGCUACUAGAGAGGCUGAAGGGGGAAGAUGGCUUUAGCCCUGGAUUUCUAGACUAGCCUGGACAACAUAGCAAGACCUCAUCUCUAUUUGUUUUUGAGACAGAGCCUCGGUCUGUCACCCAUGCUGGAGCGCAGUGGACCUCCGCCUCCCGGGUUCAAGUGAUUCUUCUUUCUCAGCCUCCCGAGUUAUUUGGGAUUACAGGUGUGCGCCACCACGCCCAGCUAAUUUUUUUGUAUUUUUAGUAGAGACGGGUUUCACCAUGUUGGCCAGGCUGGUCUUAAACUUCUGACUUAAGGUGAUCUGCCCGUCUCGGCCUCCCAAAGUGCUGGGAUUACGACGUCAGCCACUGCUCUUGGCCUAUCUUUUUUUUUUUUUUUUUUUUUAAAAGAAAGAGAUGUAUAGGGAGAUCACCCAGUAUCCCUCAGUGUUAACAUCUUGCAUAGCUACAGUUAGCAUAGAAGCCAGGUAAUUGACAUUGGUACUGUACAUGGGACUUACUCAGAUUUACACGUUUUUUAAUGUUUUAUGUGUAUGUAGUUCUCUAUUCUCUACCAUUUUUAUGAGAGUUCCAGUUGCCUUGCAUUCCCACCAGCACUUAGUAUUGUCAGAUUUAUCAUUAUUUAGGUAUUCUGGUAGGUGUAUGGUGGAAUCUCACCAUAGUUUUAAUUUCUUCUCUUUUUUUAAAAAAUAGGAACAAGGUCUCACCAUGCUGCCCAAGCUGGUCUGAAAACUCUUGUCCUCAGGCAGUCCUCCCACCUCGGCCUCCCAAAGAUCUGAGAUUACAGGCAUGAGCCACCACACCUGGCCUUGGUUUUAAUUCCUGUCACAGUAUAUUAGUUUUCGCUGUUGUGUAUUGAUUGAUUGAGACAGGGUCUCGCUCUGUUGCCCAGGCUGGAGUGCAGGGGCAUGAUCCCAGCUCACUGCAACCUCCACCUCUUGGAUUCAAGUGAUUCUCCCGUCUCAGCCUCCCGAGUAACAGGAACCACAGGUGUGUGCCAGCACGCCUGGCUAAUUUUUUUUUUUUUUUUCUUGAGGUGGAGUUUCACUGUUGUUGCCCAGGUUGGAGUGCAGUGGCACAAUCUCAGCUCACUGCAACCUCUGCCUCCUGGGUUCAAGUGAUUCUCCUGCUUCAGCCUCACGAGUUGUUGGGAUUACAGGCGCCCGCCACCACGCCCAGGUAAUUUUUGUUUAGUAGAGACGGGGUUUCACCAUGUUGGCCUGGCUGGUCUCGAACUCCUGACCUCAGGUGAUCCACCCACCUCGGCCUCCCAAAGUUGUGGGAUUGCAGGCGUGAGCCACUGCGCCUGGCCUAAUUUUUCAAUUUUUUGGUGGAGAUAGGGUUUCACCAUGUUGGCCAGGCUGGAGUUUUGCCUGUUCUAGAAGCUUGUAUCAGUCAUACAACACGUAAGUUCUUUUUGUCUAGCUUCUUUUGCUCAACACAAUAUCUCUGAGAUUUAUUUAUGUUUUUAUGUAAACAUAAAUGUUCAUUUUUCUUGCUAAGUACUAUUUCAUUGUAUGAAUAGACCACAGUUUGUUUAUCCAUUCACCUAGUGGUGGACAUUUUAUUUAUUUUUAUUUAUUUAUUUAUUUAUUUAUUUUUGAGACAGAGUCUUGCUCUGUCGCCCAGGCUGGAGUGCAAUAGCUCAAUCUCAGCUCACUGCAGCCUCUGCCUCCCAGGUUCAAGCCAUUCUCCUGUCUCAGCCUCCCGAGUAGCUGGGAUUACAGGCACACACCACGACACCCUGCUACUUUUUGUAUUUUUAGUAGAGACAGGGUUUCACCAUGUUGGUCAGGCUGGUCUUGAACUCCUGGCCUCGUGAUCCAUCCACCUCGGCCUCCCAAAGUGCUGGGAUUACAGGCAUGAGCCACCGCACCUGGCCAUGGUGGACAUUUAUGUUGUUUCCAACUUAGGGCUAUUAUAACUAGAUUUUAGUAGCUACCAUCCCCCAAAUGCAUGGUACCAAUUUUCUCUCCUACCAACAGCAUGUAAGGUGACAGUUCAGGAGAAGUGUCCUAAGCAUGUGUCAUGGACCCUGUUUGGGGGGUGAUUUCUUUGAGGCGGGGCCAGGCAUUCUUGGUUCUCUGUGGCCUCCCCUGCCCUAUUUUUUUUUUUUUAGAUGAAGUUUCACUUUUGUCACCCAGGCUGGAGUGCAGUGGUGCUAUCCCGGCUCACUGCAACCUCCGCCUCCUGGGUUCAAGCGAUUCUCCUGCCUCAGCCUCCCGAGUAACUGGGAUUACAGGCAUGCACCACCGUGCUCAGCUAAUUUUUGUAUUGUUAGUACAGACAGGAUUUUGCCAUGUUGGCCAGGCUGGUCUCCAACCCCUGGCCUCAACUGAUCCACCUGCCUUGGCCUCCCGAAGUGCUGGUAUUAUAGGCAUAAGCCACCGCGCCUGGCUGGUCCCCUGCCCUAUUUUAAGAGUCUCUAUUAGGGAUAAACUUCAUGGAAAAUGUAUGUCUGUUCUAAGAAUGUUCUCAAGUGUCAUUACCUUGUGCUGUAUCUGUUUCCUCUUUACGAGGAUUCUCAGAAGAAAUUCUUGCCGAGUCUCAAUAGUUGAAAUAAUUUCACUCCUUCCAAGCAUUUGGUUUGCUCUUAUUUUAAGGACACUGAAUUGGGCAGGUGGUCAAGUUACACACAUGUGAGGGACUGAAAUAUAUGGUGUCAUUUUUUCCCGUUAGUCUUACGAAUGGUUCCAUACUGUGUGCCUUCCUGUUUUUCUUCCACUAGUACUUCCAGUUCGUGCUUUCUUGCUAUAUUUUAUAGAGAAAGGCCAUUUCUAUGUCUUUCUGGUACUGGGUGGGUUAUAAUAAAAACGUGCCUUUGGUGCCAUGAUUUGGGGGUGUCUUUGGCCGUGCAGCAGAGCGAUGCCCCAGCUCUGCUAGAUGUUUGAAGGGCUAUUGAGUGGAAGAGGGGUCCCUUCCUGUGACCUUGGCCCCCUUAUCAGUUGACUAACUGGCCCCAGACCAGUAUGUAAAGCACAUGCAAAUCCUCAAACAGCCUCUUGGAGCCAGCUGGCCAUGCUGUCCUCAGCUUCAGAUUUUUUUGUGUUUCUGGCUCCACGGUGUUCCCCCGCAUCCUAGUCCAUCCUCCUGUCCUUUCUUGAACCAGCUGUCUGUCUGUGCUUUCCUCGAUGCUGUGUGGCCUUGUAGCAUUUGUCAUUUUCACUCUGUUGAGUUGGCCGGCUUGGCCUCCCUUGUCCUGCAGGUCCUGGGCAGGGAUGGCGUUAUAUCAUCCUCUGCCUUUGUCUCCUUUCUCCUCUUGCCCUGCUGAGUCGCAAGUUUAUUCUGUUGGUUGACAAGAACCUGUGCUGACAGAGGAGGGGAUAGGACUGGGGGCUGCGGCAGGACCAGCUCUAAAUCUGGCAGCUGAAGAAAGGAAUGAGUUCCCCAAAGCAGCUUCUCCCACCACACCCCCGAUUGAGAAAACAAGGAGCUGGCCGGGCAUGGUGGCUCGCGCCUGUAAUCCCAGCACUUUGGGAGGCCAAGGCAGGUGCAUCACCCAAGGGCAGGAGUUCAAGACCAGCGUGGCCAACAUGGCGAAACUCCGUCUCUAUUAAAAAUACAAAAAUUAGCUGGGCAUGGUGGUGCCUGCCUGUAAUCCCAGCUACUAGUGGGGCUGAGGCAGGAGGAUCGCUUGAACCUGGGAGGUGGAGGUUGCAGUGAGCUGAGAUCGUGCCACUGCACUCCAGCCUGGGCAACAGAGCAAGACUGCAUCUCAAAACAACAACAACAAAGGCUGGUCGUGGUGGCUCACUCCUGUAAUCCUAGUACUUUGGGAGGCCAAGGCGGGCGGAUUGCCUGAGCUCAGGAGUUCGAGACCAGCCUGGGCUACACGGUGAAACCCGUCUCUACCAAAAUACAAAAAAUCUGUAGUCGCAGCUACUCAGGGGGCUGAGGCAGGAGAAUUGCCUGAACCCUGGAGGUGGAGCUUGCAGUGAGCCGAUAUCGUGCCACUGCACUCCAGCUUGAGUGACAGAGCAAGACUCCGUCUCCAAAAAAAUAAAUAAAUAAAAAUAAAUUAAAAAAAAUUAGGAGCUAAGAAUGACAGCUGCAAAGUUGCCUGAAUUAGGGGGCCCAAGUCAAGUUUUCCCCAGGGUGCCGGCUAUCUUGGUGGAUGGCCUCAAUAAAUAGGCAGGUGAUUUGUGAAGGUUGAAGGGGUUGCAGGUGCCACACACAUCAGCGGUUAGUCUGUUGAUACACAUUUAUUAUCUCUCCUAUUGUCUCCUGCCCUAUGGGAGAUGUAGACAGUGCUCUGAACGUUCUGGUUGCAAAGAGAAUUGACAAACUGCUGUUCUCCAGCCUGACCAACAUGAUGAAACCCCAUCUAAAAAUACAAAACAAUUAGCCGGACUGUAGUGGUGCACGCCUGUAAUCGCAGCUACUCAGAAGGCUGAGGCAGGAGAAUUGCUUGCAUCCAGGAGGUGGAGGUUGCAGUGAGCUGAGAUCACGCCAUUGCACUCCAGCCUAGGCGACAGAGUGAGUCUCUGUAUCUGCUGUUCUGUUGUAGGAGAAGGAGAUGUCAGGUAUAAGGGUUAGCAGGGGGUGGCUUGGUUGCGAUCAGGAGAGAGGUAGUGCUCAUUCUCCAUGGGAUCCUUGUGGUGCAUGUCCCUGGCUUUUUUUUUUUUUUUGAGAUGGAGUCUCACUCUGUCACCCAGGCUGGAGUGCAGAGGCACAAUACUCGGCUUACUCGGCUCUGCCUCCUGGGUUCAUGCAUUUCUCCUGCCUCAGCCUCCUGAGUAGCUGGGAUUACAGGUGUGCACCACCACGCCUGGUAUUUUUAGUAGAGAUGGGGUUUCUCCACGUUGGCCAGGCUGGUCUCAAACUCCUGACCUCAAGUGCCGCGGUUUGCCACAGUUACCACGGGACUAAACGAAGGGGUACGAACGUAGAAAUGAAAACUUAAAACAAAAGAAACUGUUUUAAAGGAAGGGGCCAGGGGAAGAAGAAGAGGGCUCCCUGCUUCUAGUGAGCAAGGGCAGCCGCCUUGAACCUCUACCGCCCUUCAUACUCAUUCGGUAGAAAGAGCAGGGUGGAGGAGGUAACAAUUGGUCAGCUGCUUGAUUGAUCACAGGUUCACCUUGAGCUAAAAUGGGUUUCUUGUCACCCUUGCCCAUCAAACCUGGCCUUGCCCUCAGGAACCACACAGGACAAGCCUAAUACUUCCUUCUUGUGGCAACACUUUAGCAAUUGAGACCUGGCUGUCAGGUCCUCCAAAUAAACAUUUGUGACUGUGAUGUUGACUUGCCGCUUCUGGGGACCUCUUCUCAUUUGAUCGGAGAAAGUUUUUCAGGGUUAAACCUACUUCUUUCCCCCAAGAAACUCUUCUUGUCAGGCUCACGCCUAUAAUCCUGGCACUUUGGGAGGCCAAGGCAGGAGGAUUGUUUGAGACCAGCCUGGGCAACGUAGGUAGACUAUGUUGCUACAAAAAGAAAAAGAAAAAAUGGCCAGGUGUAGUAGUCCCAGCUGCUUGGAGGCUGAGGUAGGAGGUUUGCUUGAGCCCAGGAGGUCGAGGCUGCAGUGAGCUAUGAUUGUGCCACUGCACUCUAGCCUGGGAGACAGAAUGAGGCCCUGUCUCAAAAAAAAAAAAAAAAAAAAAAAGAUGAUGAAACUCCUCACGUAUUUCUCCCCGGAGCAUGUGCUCCCAGGCUCAAAUCCACAGCAGCCUCGUUACACACACGUCAUCCCCUGGCCCCGAGAUAUUGCACCGCCUUCCCCUUUCUAGCUCUGAACCCCCACAUGAAGCAGCCAGACGUAGGAAAACCCAGAUUCAUAAAGCGCUGAUAUGGGUGGUCCUUUACCAAAGGAUUUUCUGCUUUACAAAGUAAUUCACCAAAUGAUUUCCCUAGAGUAUGGGCAGAGAUUUGCAAACUACAGCUUGGAACCAAGCUGCCUUUUUUUUAUAAUAAAGUUUUAUCAGGAUGCAUCCACAUCCAUUCAUCUCUGUGGUGCCAGCUGCUCUAGCUACACAGGCAGAGUGGAAGAGUUGCAGAUGGCCAACAAAACCUAAACUGUUUACCGCCUGGCCCCUUAUAGAAGCAGCUGGCUGACGCUGGCUCCAGGGCAUCAGAAAUGGGACCAUUGGAAAGGAGUAGCCGGGCUACAUGGUUUUUCUUCUGCCCCACGUCUUGUUCUCAAACAUGCUUCCUCCCCAGUCAUCUGAGGAAUGUCAGUCUGAGACAGUCAGGAGCAGGUGUGCCUAGGGAUGCAUGGUUUCUGAAAAUGGGGUGGGGUCUUUUAGGCUGAGGGCUCUGGCAGCUUCUGUCUGAAGGCUGAGCUGAGCUGAGCAGAGCUGGGCAUGGUGGCUCACGCCUGUAGUCCCGGCUACUCAGGAGGCCAAGGUGGGAGAAUCACUUGAGCCUGGGAAGUUCAGAGGAGCCUGGGCAACACAGUGAGACCUCAUCUUUAUUUUUUGAAAUUUUUUGUUUUUAUUAUUUUUUUAAUUUUUAGGAGCAGAGGGUUAAUAGGCAAAAGAAAGAGAGAGAGGAAAACAGCUCUCUCCAGUGAGAGAGAGGGUACUUCUGAAAGGAAAACGCCACCGGCAGCAGAUGCACUGGAUUUUAUAGUCAGGCUUGAGGAGGUGGUGUCUGAUUUACAUAGGGCUCACAGAUUGGUUCAGUCAGGUAUGAUGUUUACAUAGCGCUGGGGUGUGGGGAAGGCUGACCUCCCCACUCUAAUCUUAUUAUGCAAAUGAACUUUCCCCUUGGCCAGCACCAUCUUGUCUGCUCCUUACUGUGCACGUGGCUGGCAGAGAAGGGAAGAUGGAGCCGCCAUUUUGAACAUGAUUGGCACAACUGCCUGCAUCUAUGUCUGCAGCUCGAUUUUACACGCUGCUCUUUGUUAGAAAGGAAAAUGAUUUGGGGCUGCUUUUCAGUAAAAGGAAAACCUUACUGAGGACUUCUGUAUCCUCACUAUCUAAGUAAUUUCCUCUUAACUCCUGUAUCAUUCCCCACUCUGGAGUGGUAACCCUAACUGCUCUUCGGGGUUGUUUGAUGAUGACUCUUUCUGGCUACUUCAUACUUAAAAGGGGUGUUGUGUGGGGAACAGAAGCUAAGGGCUCCUCCUGGGGUCGAGCUAAGGGUCCUCGGAAAAAAGGCAUGUCCGUGCAUGGUUCUGUCUGCAGCACCAUUUAGAGUUUGAUUACUGUCAGCCAUUCUGAUGGGUUGUAACACUGGUUUGCCUCCACCAGAUGUUGAGAUAGUUUCCAGAUUCCAGAGAAACCAGGCAGAGAGAAACAAACAUGCUCCAAAUUUUCUUCACAGGAGUAUACCUUAUUCAAUUAUUAAAGGCCAUAAAUAGUUCACAAUAAGUUUUCUUGACUCGUUUUGAUGAGUGUUGUACCUUGGGAUCCCGGAUGAGGUCCCCAACAUGAAGCAGCUACAUUGUUUGGGGUAAAUACCUGGGGUUCAUUGUCUCACGCCAAGAAAAUUUAGGACACAGACACACAUGAGGAGUUUAGGAGCAGAGGUUUAACAGGCAAAAGAAAGAGAAAGAAAAACAGCUCCUUAGUGAGAGAGAGGGGACUUCCAAGAGGAAAAGUCCCAAGACCUUGUCUUUGAAAAAGCAGUAGCUCAUGCCUGUAAUCGUAGUGCUUUGGGAGGUCGAGACAGGAAGAUUGCUUGAGCCCAGGAGUUGGAGACCAGCCCGAGUGACAUAGGAAGACCAUGUUUGCAAAAAA